GCUGUGAUAGUCUAGUGGUUAGGACAUUGUGUUGUGGUCGCAGUAACCCAGGUUCAAAUCUUGGUCACGGCA
rnacentral:tRNA from 1 species